AUUGCAUCGUAACCGUCAGAUUGAGGUGAGUACAUGUGUCGUAAUCUACUUAUCAUUCUCAAAAUUUUGGCGCCUUAAUUCGCCUCUCAAAAAAUUUCAAUCGCUUCAAAGUUCAAACGGAGACGGUCUUUGCAUAUGUCAAGUUUCCGUUAAACUUUGACGGGUCAGGCUAGAGCCAUCCAAGUCCAACUAUCCCGGUGACUAGCGUUUAUAUAUAUGCUACAUAACCAGGCCCGGCCCAAGUGGGUAGUGCCUGGGCCUAAGGCCG